UUAACAAGGGACCCCCACAUCUGACUUACACUGUCCCACUGCCCACCUGGCUGCUUUGCGGAGAAGGGACUGUGGAUGGGCCGGGAGCAAGAGCGUCAGUCAGGAGGCCAUUGCCACAGCAGAGGCGGGCGAUGAGUAUCACUCACUCCAGAGGAAGCCAGCCACCAUGUUAUAAGGAAACUCAGGAGCUCUAUAACAUCCACAUGACAAGGAACGUGGGCUUCCUGCCAACCGUCAGCACGAACUCCACAGCCUUGUGAAUGAGCCCCUCUGGAAGCAGAUCUUCCAGCUCAGGCAAGCCUUCUAAAUGUCUACACCCCCACUGGCAUCUUGACGGCAGCCUCAUGAGAGACUCGGAAGCCCUGCUAAGUCACUUCCGGAUCCCUGGCCCCAAAAAAGCAUAUAUUGUAUGAGAUAAUUAAAUGCUUAUUAUUUUAA